UACGGAGGGGGCUAGCGUUGUUCGGAAUUACUGGGCGUAAAGCGCGUGUAGGCGGUCCGGUAAGUCCGCUGUGAAAGUCGGGGGCUCAACCCUCGAAUGCCGGUGGAUACUGUCGGGCUAGAGUGCGGAAGAGGCGAGUGGAAUUCCUGGUGUAGCGGUGAAAUGCGCAGAUAUCAGGAAGAACACCCGUGGCGAAGGCGGCUCUCUGGGACGUGACUGACGCUGAGACGCGAAAGCGUGGGGGAGCGAACAUGAUGAUGAAC
rnacentral:rRNA from 1 species